rnacentral:rRNA from 1 species
GUGGGGAAUAUUGGACAAUGGGCGAAAGCCUGAUCCAGCCAUGCCGCGUGUGUGAAGAAGGUCUUCGGAUUGUAAAGCACUUUAAGUUGGGAGGAAGGGCAGUAAGUUAAUACCUUGCUGUUUUGACGUUACCGACAGAAUAAGCACCGGCUAACUUCGUGCCAGCAGCCGCGGUAAUACGAAGGGUGCAAGCGUUAAUCGGAAUUACUGGGCGUAAAGCGCGCGUAGGUGGUUUUGUAAGUUGGAGGUGAAAUCCCCGGGCUCAACCUGGGAACUGCCUCCAAAACUGCAUGACUAGAGUACGGUAGAGGGUAGUGGAAUUUCCUGUGUAGCGGUGAAAUGCGUAGAUAUAGGAAGGAACACCAGUGGCGAAGGCGACUACCUGGACUGAUACUGACACUGAGGUGCGAAAGCGUGGGGAGCAAACAGGAUUAGAUAUCCUUGUAGUCC